CUUGUCAAACAGAUGAUGACUUAUUUCUCAUCACAUGAAAUUACAGGAUAUUUGAGGCAAUCAAAUCUCUUUCUAGCUUAUACGUACCAUUUACUUUUUUAUGAAAAUCCAAGACAAUAUAUAAAGUAGACACUUUAGCCUAAUAUUAUACUGGAGAAACAGGAGACAUGCAUGUCCUAAUGAAAGAGAUAUACAGGUUUUGUUUGGGGGUUUGACAUAGAACCAAGCUGGAGCAGUACAGAGGAAAAAAAAC
rnacentral:lncRNA from 1 species